rnacentral:rRNA from 1 species
AUUGAACGCUGGCGGCAGGCCUAACACAUGCAAGUCGAGCGGCAGCGGGAAAGUAGCUUGCUACUUUUGCCGGCGAGCGGCGGACGGGUGAGUAAUGCCUGGGAAAUUGCCCAGUCGAGGGGGAUAACAGUUGGAAACGACUGCUAAUACCGCGUACGCCCUACGGGGGAAAGCAGGGGACCUUCGGGCCUUGCGCGAUUGGAUAUGCCCAGGUGGGAUUAGCUAGUUGGUGAGGUAAUGGCUCACCAAGGAGACGGUCCCUAGCUGGUCUGAGAGGAUGAGCAGCCACACUGGAACUGAGACACGGUCCAGACUCCUACGGGAGGCAGCAGUGGGGAAUAUUGCACAAUGGGGGAAACCCUGAUGCAGCCAUGCCGCGUGUGUGAAGAAGGCCUUCGGGUUGUAAAGCGCUUUCAGCGAGGAGGAAAGGUUGAUGCCUAAUACGUGUCAACUGUGACGUUACUCGCAGAAGAAGCACCGGCUAACUCCGUGCCAGCCGCCGCCGUAACAC